AAGUCGUAACAAGGUAUCCGUAGGUGAACCUGCGGAUGGAUCAUUAAGAAGCAUCCUUUUUACUAUUAUAAAGGUCUUCAACCCUUGUGGUCUAAUAGAUUUGUAUUAGUUGGGUUAAAUUGAUCAACUAAACACAUGCGUGUUUGAUUGAUUUGCCCGACAUCAUCAUACUAAACCAUAUCACUUUUAUACAUUACUGACUGAUGUUGCCUUGCGACUAUUGUGAUUCUUCAUUGAUGAUGAUGAUCAAAAGUAACAAGUAAAACAAUUGUAAUCUUAAUACAACUGCUAGCAACGGAUCACUCGGCUCUCAC
rnacentral:misc_RNA from 1 species